GAUGAAGAACGUAGCGAAAUGCGAUACGUAAUGUGAAUUGCAGAAUUCAGUGAAUCAUCGAAUCUUUGAACGCAUAUUGCGCUCUCUGGUAUUCCGGAGAGCAUGCUUGUUUGAGUAUCAGUAAACACCUCAACUUCCAUAUCUUUUUUGAAAUGGGAGUUGGACUUGAGUGAUCCCAACGCUUUUCCUCACCGAAAAGUGGCGGGUUACUUGAAAUGCAGGUGCAGCUGGACUUUUCUCUGAGCUAUACGCAUAUCUAUUUAGUCUGCCUAAAAAACAGAUUAUUACCUUUGCUGCAGCUAACAUAAAGGAGAUUAGUUCUUGUGCUGACUGAUGCAGGAUUCACAAAGACGGCUUCGGCCGACUUUGUAAACUCGAUCUCAAAUCAAGUAAGACUACCCGCUGAACUUAAGCAUAUCAAUAAGCGGAGGA
rnacentral:misc_RNA from 1 species